rnacentral:rRNA from 1 species
GGUCAGGACGAACGCUGGUGGCGUGCCUAAUACAUGCAAGUCGAACGGUCUUUCUAUGGAAGCUUGCUUCCACUGAGAAGAUACGUGGCGAACGGGUGAGUAACACGUGGGUAACCUACCCAUAAGAGGGGGAUAACAUCCGGAAACGGGUGCUAAUACCGCAUAGUUUUCUUGAUCGCAUGAUCGGGAAAGGAAAGACGGCCUUUGUGCUGUCGCUUAUGGAUGGACCCGCGGCGUAUUAGUUAGUUGGUGAGGUAACGGCUCACCAAGACGAUGAUACGUAGCCGACCUGAGAGGGUGAUCGGCCACAUUGGGACUGAGACACGGCCCAAACUCCUACGGGAGGCAGCAGUAGGGAAUCUUCCGCAAUGGACGAAAGUCUGACGGAGCAACGCCGCGUGAGUGAAGAAAGGUUUUCGGAUCGUAAAACUCUGUUGUCAGAGAAGAACAAGUUGGAGAGUAACUGCUCCAGCCUUGACGGUAUCUGACCAGAAAGCCACGGCUAACUACGUGCCAGCCGCCGC